UACAGAGGGCCCGAGCGUUGUUCGGAUUUAUUGGGCGUAAAGGGUGCGUAGGUGGCAAAGUAAGUUGGAUGUGAAAUCCUGGGGCUCAACCUCAGAAUUGCAUUCAAUACUGCUUAGCUAGAGAGCUGUAGAGGAGACUGGAAUUUACGGUGUAGCAGUGAAAUGCGUAGAUAUCGGAAGGAAGACCAGUGGCGAAGGCGGGUCUCUGGACAGUUCCUGACGCUGAGGCACGAAGGUCAGGGGAGCAAACGGG
rnacentral:rRNA from 1 species